rnacentral:rRNA from 1 species
GAUGAACGCUGGCGGCGUGCCUAACACAUGCAAGUCGAGCGAUUCUCUUCGGAGAAGAGCGGCGGACGGGUGAGUAACGCGUGGGUAACCUGCCCUGUACACACGGAUAACAUACCGAAAGGUAUGCUAAUACGAGAUAAUAUGCUUUUAUCGCAUGAUAGAAGUAUCAAAGCUCUGGCGGUACAGGAUGGACUCGCGUCUGAUUAGCUAGUUGGUAAGGUAACGGCUUACCAAGGCGACGAUCAGUAGCCGACCUGAGAGGGUGAUCGGCCACAUUGGAACUGAGACACGGUCCAAACUCCUACGGGAGGCAGCAGUGGGGUAUAUUGCACAAUGGGCGAAAGCCUGAUGCAGCAACGCCGCGUGAGCGAUGAAGGCCUUCGGGUCGUAAAGCUCUGUCCUCAAGGAAGAUAAUGACGGUACUUGAGGAGGAAGCCCCGGCUAACUACGUGCCAGCCGCCGCGGUAA